rnacentral:tRNA from 1 species
UUAAAUAGGUAGUAUCUACUUAAUUAACUCAAUUAAAGCAACACUUUAUUAAUACAGGCACUAUAUA